CUGGAGGUAUCAGAAGUGCGAAUGCUGACAUAAGUAACGAUAAAGCGGGUGAAAAGCCCGCUCGCCGGAAGACCAAGGGUUCCUGUCCAACGUUAAUCGGGGCAGGGUGAGUCGACCCCUAAGGCGAGGCCGAAAGGCGUAGUCGAUGGGAAACGGGUUAAUAUUCCCGUACUUGGUGUUACUGCGAAGGGGGGACGGAGAAGGCUAUGUUGGCCGGGCGACGGUUGUCCCGGUUUAAGCGUGUAGGUGUGUGUUCCAGGUAAAUCCGGUUCACUUUAACACUGAGGCGUGACGACGAGGCACUACGGUGCUGAAGCAACAAAUGCCCUGCUUCCAGGAAAAGCCUCUAAGCAUCAGGUAACAUCAAAUCGUACCCCAAACCGACACAGGUGGUCAGGUAGAGAAUACCAAGGCGCUUGAGAGAACUCGGGUGAAGGAACUAGGCAAAAUGGUGCCGUAACUUCGGGAGAAGGCACGCUGACACGUAGGUGAAGUGAUUUACUCACGGAGCUGAAGUCAGUCGAAGAUACCAGCUGGCUGCAACUGUUUAUUAAAAACACAGCACUGUGCAAACACGAAAGUGGACGUAUACGGUGUGACGCCUGCCCGGUGCCGGAAGGUUAAUUGAUGGGGUCAGCGCAAGCGAAGCUCCUGAUCGAAGCCCCGGUAAACGGCGGCCGUAACUAUAACGGUCCUAAGGUAGCGAAAUUCCUUGUCGGGUAAGUUCCGACCUGCACGAAUGGCGUAAUGAUGGCCAGGCUGUCUCCACCCGAGACUCAGUGAAAUUGAACUCGCUGUGAAGAUGCAGUGUACCCGCGGCAAGACGGAAAGACCCCGUGAACCUUUACUAUAGCUUGACACUGAACAUUGAGCCUUGAUGUGUAGGAUAGGUGGGAGGCUUUGAAGUGUGGACGCCAGUCUGCAUGGAGCCGACCUUGAAAUACCACCCUUUAAUGUUUGAUGUUCUAACGUGGACCCGUGAUCCGGGUUGCGGACAGUGUCUGGUGGGUAGUUUGACUGGGGCGGUCUCCUCCUAAAGAGUAACGGAGGAGCACGAAGGUUGGCUAAUCCUGGUCGGACAUCAGGAGGUUAGUGCAAUGGCAUAAGCCAGCUUGACUGCGAGCGUGACGGCGCGAGCAGGUGCGAAAGCAGGUCAUAGUGAUCCGGUGGUUCUGAAUGGAAGGGCCAUCGCUCAACGGAUAAAAGGUACUCCGGGGAUAACAGGCUGAUACCGCCCAAGAGUUCAUAUCGACGGCGGUGUUUGGCACCUCGAUGUCGGCUCAUCACAUCCUGGGGCUGAAGUAGGUCCCAAGGGUAUGGCUGUUCGCCAUUUAAAGUGGUACGCGAGCUGGGUUUAGAACGUCGUGAGACAGUUCGGUCCCUAUCUGCCGUGGGCGCUGGAGAACUGAGGGGGGCUGCUCCUAGUACGAGAGGACCGGAGUGGACGCAUCACUGGUGUUCGGGUUGUCAUGCCAAUGGCACUGCCCGGUAGCUAAAUGCGGAAGAGAUAAGUGCUGAAAGCAUCUAAGCACGAAACUUGCCCCGAG
rnacentral:rRNA from 1 species